CAGGGGGUAUUCUGAGAAACCCGAAAGAUCGAAUGGGGAAAUUCAUUCGCGUCUCGAGCGCGAAGACGACAGGCGGCGAGACGGACGGCGUUCGCGCUCGUUCGCUCCCGCAGGCCGUCGACGUCGCGUUCGAACGCGUGCACUUUUCCCCUAGUAGGACGUCGUGAUCCGUUGGGCGUCGGUCUACGGCCCGUCAGGUAGACCGCGCGUGCGUUUCGGCGUUUCGCGCGGACCGGCGGUGUUUCCCGGCCGGCUCGCUCGACGGUAUAAAAAAGGCGCGAGGCCGCUACUUCGGUUAGCGUUCGGCCCGCCGCAAGCACGUCCGGCGAUAUUAGUCACGGUGAUCGGACCUAGCGCCGUUCCCGUACCCCGGCGACUGUUAGCGGCGGAGUUCUCGAACAGACCUCUGUUAAACGCCGAUCGACGACGCUAUAGCUUUGGGUAAUUUCAGG
rnacentral:rRNA from 1 species